AGCAAGGAAGGAAAAGGAAGGGAGGGGCAAGGGUUUCCAACCAACUAAGGAGUAGAACCAAGAGGUGAUGAGGCACGGCGCGAGGCCAUCGGCGGUCUAUCAUCACCUAGGACUCGAGGGUGGCCAGUGGUGGGUGCCUACGGCACUGUAUGCCCAAGGUGAGUGUGCGUGUGUAUGUAGAGACUAGGGUGCAGGGUGGCCAACGGUUGGUGUCGACGACACUGUAUGCUCAAGGUGUGUGUGUGUGUGUGUGACUGGGGUGUAGGGUGGCCAACGGUUGGUGACGGCGACACUGCAUGCUCAGGGUGAGUGUGUGUAUGUGUGACUGGGGUGCAGGGUGGCCAACGGUUGGUGCCGACGGCACUGCAUGCUCAGGGUGAGUGUGUGAAUGACUGUGAUUGAAACUGUGACUGAGGAUCUGGCUCUCUACGGAGGUGACCUCUGGGAUUAGGAGCUGGUUGCACUUGAGGAUGGAUGC